AAGUCGUAACAAGGUUUYCGUAGGUGAACCUGCGGAAGGAUCAUUACAGAGUUCAUGCCCGAAAGGGUAGACCUCCCACCCUUGUGUAUUAUUACUUUGUUGCUUUGGCGAGCUGCCUUCGGGCCUUGUAUGCUCGCCAGAGAAUACCAAAACUCUUUUUAUUAAUGUCGUCUGAGUACUAUAUAAUAGUUAAAACUUUCAACAACGGAUCUCUUGGUUCUGGCAUCGAUGAAGAACGCAGCGAAAUGCGAUAAGUAAUGUGAAUUGCAGAAUUCAGUGAAUCAUCGAAUCUUUGAACGCACAUUGCGCCCCUUGGUAUUCCGGGGGGCAUGCCUGUUCGAGCGUCAUUUCAACCCUCAAGCUUAGCUUGGUAUUGAGUCUAUGUCAGUAAUGGCAGGCUCUAAAAUCAGUGGCGGCGCCGCUGGGUCCUGAACGUAGUAAUAUCUCUCGUUACAGGUUCUCGGUGUGCUUCUGCCAAAACCCAAAUUUUUCUAUGGUUGACCUCGGAUCAGGUAGGGAUACCCGCUGAACUUAA
rnacentral:misc_RNA from 1 species